AUGGCAGGGAGGAGGAAGGGCGGGCUGGGCUGCCGUGGAGAACGCCAGGGCCUUCUGCCCCGUCCUCAGAACGUCCUUCCCGGUUUGCCAAAGGUCCCCGCGCGGCAGGCCUGGCUUCUGCGUACCGCCCCCAUGCACCUCCGCCUCAGCCACAGCACCUCCCAGCAGCGGCCCCUGCGGCCCCUGCGGCCCCCGCGGUCCCUCCGCUCCUGUCUGGCAAGACCUCCUAAACCGCAGAGCCCCAAGAAGCAAGUGGUGUUUGCGGACACGGCGGGGCUUUCGUUGACAUCCGUGCUCGUGUUUGAGGACGCUGUAGGCGGAGACUCCGAGGAGGGUCCUUGCAGACGCCAGACGGACAGCUUCGCCUUCCAGAUGGCGAGGCCGCUGGAUCCCCGGGCCCUGAGGGCACUCUCCGGGUCUGCUUCUCCUUAGAGCUUGCUCGGAAGCUCUUGGGGGACAAGAACCAAGGCCAAAACCAUUGCUUGGUGCCUAGCUCCCAGUCCUGCUCCUCAGAAUGAAGCUGAACUCUCCGAGGACCCACAGGCUGAGCCCUCUCGAUUACUUUUUCUGCACAGGCAAAGCUUGGUUUUGUUGCCCAGGUUGUGAGCGUUUCCUCUCCCUCCAGGAUCUUUACCCAGACUGUUUGCUUCCGAAUUCAUAGUGGGGAAACAGGACCGCGGCAAAUCCUAGCCCUCUCUUCUCCUCCCCCUGUCCCAGACCUUGAAUGUUUUGUAUCCUCUCCUGGCAGGCUCACUUCUCACAGAAGUGAUAUUUCCUUCAGGAAGAUGCUGGCAACGGCACCCUUUACCCUUUGCUGGGAAGAAAGCCUUUGGAGUGUGGAACAGAAUUAACGUACAUAAAGCUUUUACAUGUAAUUCUUUAAAAGGCCUGGCAGAGAGGGUCUGUAAGGACUCCGUGGGUGUGUGGGUGAGGUCAGGAGGAGUUCUUUACCUUGAAGAUAGAGAUGCAGCACAGAAAUAUGCUUUUACUUUCUCUCAUUCUAGAAGUGGCUAUUUUCCUGGUAACUCAAAAUCGUCUGGCAACUUCAACUUUUGCCCCCCCCCAAAAAAAAUGUUUGCUAAAGCAUCUUCGCGGUUCAUCGCUUAAACACCUGACCUUUCCCCCUCUCCAGCAGAUAAGAGUCUGGGGAAACUCUGUCUACCUCAAAAUAAAUGUACUGAAAAAACAGACA
rnacentral:lncRNA from 1 species